GCAUAAAGAGGGGCGCAGCCUGAAUCAGCCAUGCCGCGCUGUGUGAAGAAGGCCUUCGGGUUGUAAAGCACUUUCAGCGAGGAGGAAGGUAUUUUGGUUAAUACCACCCCCUGAUUGACGUUACUCCCAGAAGAAGCACCGGCUAACUCCAACUAGGUGCCGCAGCCGCGGUAAUACCGAGGGUGCAAGCGUUGCGUUAAUCGGAAUUACUGGGCGUAAAGCGCACGCAAGCGGUCUGUUAAGUCCGAUGUGAAAUCCCCGGGCUUAACCUGGGAACUGCAUUUGAAACUGGCAAGCUAGAGUCUUGUAGAAGGGGGGUAGAAUUCCCGGUGUAACGGUGAAAUGCGUAGAGAUCUGGAGGAAUACCGGUGGCGAAAGCAGGCGGCCCCCUGGACAAAGACUGACACUCAGGUGCGAAAGCGGGGGAGCAAACAGGAUUAUAAUAGAUACCCUGGUAGUCCACGCCGUAAACGAUGUCUACUUGGAGGUUGUGCCCUUGAGGCGUGUCUUCCGGAGCUAACGCGUUAAGUCUACCGCCUGGGGGAGUACAGCCGCACGGUUAAAAACUAAACUCUCUAAUGAAUUGCCGGGGGCCCACACAACCGGUGGAGCAUGUGGUUUAAUUCUAUGCAGCGAAACGCGAAGAAACUUACCUACUCUUGACAUCCAGAGAAAUUUUUCAAGAUCAAUUUUGGCCUUCGGGAACUCUGAGACACGUGCUGCAUGGGCUGUCACCACCUCUCGUUGUGAAAUGUUUGGUUAAAUCCCGCAACGAGCGCAACCUUAUUCUUUGUUGUCGCCGCGUCAUGCGGGGAACUCUAAAGGACGAUUCCCGGGUAAAACCGGAGAACGGGGGGAAAAACAACAAGUCUCCUUGGCCCUCCCAGUAAGGGUUACACACUUGUUAAAAUGGGCUUUACAAAAAGAAUCGCCUCCUCGGGAGGAGACGAACCUCUAAAAAACCCUCUAAUCCCGGAUUGGAUCUCCCCUCCCCACCCCUUAAACCGAAUCCCUUUUUAAACCCGAAUAAAAAGUCCCGGGAAACAUUUUCUCCGGGGCUGUAAACCCGCCCGUCCCCCGGGGAGGGUUGCACACAAAAGGUUUUGUUGCAAAAAGAGAGUUCGGGAGGGCGCUUCCUUUUCACCUCGGGAUUCCUCUCUGG
rnacentral:rRNA from 1 species